AGCAGCCGCGGUAAUUCCAGCUCCAAUAGCGUAUAUUAAAGUUGUUGCAGUUAAAAAGCUCGUAGUUGAAUUUCGGGAUUGGCGCAUCGGUCGUGCCUCACGGGGUAUGAACUGGUGCAGUCAAUUUCUCACCUUCUGGAGAACCGCGAUGUCCUUAAUUGGAUGCCGCGGGGAACCAGGACCUUUACUUUGAAAAAAUUAGAGUGUUUAAAGCAGGCAUUUUUGCUUGAAUACAUUAGCAUGGAAUAAUAAAAUAGGACGGCAUGGUUCUAUUUUGUUGGUUUCUAGGACCACCGUAAUGAUUAAUAGGGAUAGUUGGGGGCAUUAGUAUUCAAUUGUCAGAGGUGAAAUUCUUGGAUUUAUUGAAGACUAACUACUGCGAAAGCAUUUGCCAAGGAUGUUUUCAUUAAUCAAGAACGAAAGUUAGGGGAUCGAAGACGAUCAGAUACCGUCGUAGUCUUAACCAUAAACUAUGCCGACUAGGAAUCAGACGAUGUUAAUUUUUUAAUGACUC
rnacentral:rRNA from 1 species